UAAAACAAAAAAACUGCUAUAAAUAGCAAACUGAGACAGAAAACAUUAUUUUUCCUCAGUUUUUCUUUUCUUCUUCAACCCUUCCCUAGCUCUGCUAGGGUUUCGUCCCAGCCCAUUGCCGGCGUGGCGGCCGUCAGGCCAGACGGCGGCGCCGCCGUGCCGGAACCCUAAAACCACCCAAAAAAAGAAAAAUCUUAAACUAAACCCCCCCUUAUUCUACCCCCUAGAACACGAAUAUAAACAUGAAAAGUUCAGAAACCUCACCCACAAGUAGAUCGGAGAAGGCAGUUUCCGAAGUCUUUCUCCUUCUUCUUCUUUCUGUUCCUGCGUUCUUGUUUUCGUCUAGUCUUGAUGAUUUGAAAAAAAGUUGGUGGUGGAAGAGGAAGAGGAAGUGCAACGCUGAUGUUGCUGUGUUGCUAUUUUCUUUUCUUUUUGCAGGUUGCAGGUUUUAACUUGUUCCUCUUGUUCUGUUGUGCUGGAGCAAAAGAAAGAGAAGAAAGGAA